GUGAAAUCCAAAUCAGAGCUUCAUCCUGUCCAGCUUCACCUCCCAUUGUUCCUGAAGCAGUGCCACUUUUGUGACUGCACCUUCACAAAAUGAUCUUGAAACCAGACAUGGAAACAGAACAACAGGGGCACAUGGGAAUGGUCUGCUCAGAAGGAAAGUAUUGGAGCCAGGAUUAUAAGAGGAAGAGUUCCACCCCAAACACAUCACGGAAGGGGCAGGGGAUUUCUCCAGGAGCAAGACCUGAGUCCCAGCCUUUCAAGUUGGUUGCAGAUCACUGCCUGGAAGUGAGCAGAGAGAGCAGGCAGCAAGGAACUGCUAAGUUUUGGAACAGGACAGCAACUGUGAUGGAACAAUAAAAAAAUGCUAAA
rnacentral:lncRNA from 1 species